UACGUAGGGUGCGAGCGUUGUCCGGAAUUACUGGGCGUAAAGAGCUCGUAGGUGGUUUGUCGCGUUGUUCGUGAAAACUCACAGCUUAACUGUGGGCGUGCGGGCGAUACGGGCAGACUGGAGUACUGCAGGGGAGACUGGAAUUCCUGGUGUAGCGGUGGAAUGCGCAGAUAUCAGGAGGAACACCGGUGGCGAAGGCGGGUCUCUGGGAAGUAACUGACGCUGAGGAGCGAAAGCGUGGGGAGCGAACAGG
rnacentral:rRNA from 1 species